rnacentral:rRNA from 1 species
GAUGAACGCUAGCUACAGGCUUAACACAUGCAAGUCGAGGGGCAGCAUGAGGACAGCUUGCUGACUUUGAUGGCGACCGGCGCACGGGUGAGUAACGCGUAUCCAACCUUCCCCUGUCUCGGGCAUAACCCGGUGAAAACCGGACUAAUUCCCGAUGUUGUUCCUUGACGGCAUCAGAUUGGAACCAAAGAUUUAUCGGACAGGGAUGGGGAUGCGUCUGAUUAGGUAGUUGGUGAGGUAACGGCCGACCAAGCCUUCGAUCAGUAGGGGAUCUGAGCGGAAGGGCCCCCACCGUUGAACUGAGACACGAUCCAAACCCCUACGGGAGGCAGCAGUGAGGAAUAUUGGUCAAUAGGCGAGAGCCUGAACCAGCCAAGUAGCGUGCAGGAUGACGGCCCUAUGUGUUGUAAACUGCUUUUAUACGGGGAUAAAGUUGGGGACGUGUCCCCAUUUGUAGGUACCGUAUGAAUAAGGACCGGCUAAUUCCGUGCCAGCCGCCGCAGUAACAC